AGCAGGCUGAGGAAACAAUGAGAAGCAAUCCAGUAAACAGCCCUCCUCCAUGACCUCUGCAUUAGUUCCGGAAUCUAGGUUGACUUUCUGCCCCAAUGUCCCUGAACGGAAGAAGCCUGGGCCGUGAUUGAUGUGGCCCAUUUGGGCAGCAAUGGGAGCCCGGAAGAAUGCUCACUGGCAGAUGUGCUUGUAAAGAUUCACAUAAACUCCAGCCUGGCUGGAAUCCAGCAUCUUGGUCAUCCUUGCAAGGCUUGCUCUGGAGUCUCUAAGAGGAGAGAGAAUUUUUUUGCCAGGACAUCCAAGAGUGGACUCAGCCUACUCAAGGCAUUGUGAAAAUCUGCUUGAACUGGCAUGAACCACACAGGAGUUGAAUAUUUAACUUGUUGGUCAAAGCUAAAUAAUUGUGUGUUAAAAAUUAUGUUCACCCUGGAAAAACUUUACACAUGAGAGAACUGACUGUAUCUCUCUGGUUAGCAACAGGGGAUUUUGAAAGGAAGAAGAAAAGGGAGGAAGGAUGUGGGGGAAGAUCCCCAGACAAAACUGCUGACUUCAAGAUCUGGCUGACCCAACUCUUAAUUCCCUCAAGGAAGAAGUCAUUAAAGAUUUGUUAACUUAUCUCAAGAUACAGCUUGAAGCUUUUUGGGCCCAUGGCCACUUCUACCCACUCUCCACUUGUGAAGCUGCCUCAAAGCACUAGUCCAUCAGUAAGUUCCCUCUCCUCUGCAGGUCUUUUGUCUAGCUGAGCUUGAGGUUGCCCUGCAACUGUCAACAAGUGGGACCUGAUACUUCCUGAGAAGGGAAGUAAAAAUUGCAGCCACAUAUAACCUUCUUCACAGCAUUCAAGUACCCCACCUCAAAAUCUGUGCUAGUAGACAGUCAGGAGAGUAGGAAAAUAUGUCAUAGUCGUUGCUGGAAAUACAGACUUUUCAGGAGAGAGUCACUCUUCUCUCCUGAUCUCCCCUACCUUGAUCUCUGUGAGAGAGGAGAAAGGGGGGAAGGGGUGGGAGAGAAAAAUGUACAGGGAAAGAGACUAGAAAACACCUAAAAGAGGGAGGAACCUAGUAAAAGGGGGUCAAAGAGAUGUUCCCUCCAAGAUCAGAAGCUUCUGAUACGCUGAGCCUGCAUGGCUAUCCUAGUCUUAGCUUGCAGCCUAGUGAAAUUCACAGGACUCCUAGAAAGUGUUCACCUUCUGUUCACUGGGAUUAGAGGGUUUGCAUGAACUUGAGAGUGGUAGUUACUGUAGCAUGUUUAAAAAGAAAUCAAUCUUAUGGAAUAGAAUUGAUUUAUUAGACAUAUUUAUAGUGUCCAGUUUUACAAGUGCUAAAAUUGUCUGCAGUCAUGAAGCUGUUGCUUCUAUGGAGAUAAUGAAUAGAUCCACAACCUCUGUGAUUCUUUUAUGAGAUUGAUUUAAUUAAACUUUUUUUUCCCAUUUUAGUGGGACUUUCAUAUAUGAGAACUGUAUUUGUUAUCUUGAGCUCUCCAUUUUCCCCUCAACUCUUCCUACAUUCCCUUCUUUUGUAAAAAUUGACUAUAUCUCAUCCCUAUGCAUCCAUUAUCAAAACUAUGUUUGUUUAGCUUCUUUGAUCCAGUAGGAAUAUUCAGAGAUUCAGUCAUGCUGCUGCUGUACUACUAAUUCAAUUUGUCUGUAAUAGGGCUCUACAAUAUAUUUAUACAACAAUUUGUCUGCUUACUCAUUGCUGGUCCUUUGUGUUAUACAUGGACUAAAAUUAUUACAUAAUGAAGUUUGGUACAACUUCUCAUACCGAAGCUACUGUAGAGUCAUUUUUAUAUCCUCAGUGGACUAGUUACCAAACUGUUCUUUGAAGUGAUUGUACUAUUUCAUGUUCCCUUCAGUAGGGUAUAGGAAUUCAAGUUCUCCACAUUCUCGGUAAUAAUUAAUAUUUUAGUUAUAGCCAUUUUAGUAU